AUACGGGGGGUGCAAGCGUUAUCCGGAAUUACUAGGUUUAAAGGGUCUGUAGGCGGUAAAAUAAGUCAGAGGUAAAAGACAGUAGCUUAACUAUUGGGCAGCCUUUGAUACUAUUAUACUAGAGAUUAAGUGACGUUAGCGGAAUGUAUCAAGUAGCGGUGGAAUGCUUAGAUAUGAUACAGAACGCCGAUUGUGAAGACAGCUAACGAACGUACAUCUGACGCUCAUAGACGAAGGCGUGGGUAUCGAACAGGAUUAGAUACCCUGGUAGUCCACGCAGUAAACGAUGGAUACUAGCUUUUGGUAUUUACAUAUCAGAGGCGUAGCGAAAGCGUUAAGUAUCCCACCUGGGGAGUACGGUCGCAAGAUUGAA
rnacentral:rRNA from 1 species